GAAAUGGCUCCGAGUGCAAAGGAUUAUAUGCAUAAAUUUUAAUCAAUUUUUUACUUUUUCAAAAUGGUUACGCUCUCAUCAACCACUCAAAUGGAUACUUGGACUCCCAGCGAAGAAUAUCGACGCGUUGCAAUGGUUUUGGGAAACAUUAAUUCGUUUAAAAAAUUGCCAAACAGCGACGCAGUGCUAGAUUGUCGCAAAUUUAAUAAAUUUGCGAGUCAAACGUUCGUAUAAAAUACUUAACGGUCAAAGGAUUGAAAUUCACUUUCGAUCGAGCUUUCAGUGACGAAACAAUCACUCAUUUUAUACUUAGAUCGUUUCAUAUUCGCGAAAAUAGUUCAUUGGCGUUCCAUCAACUAAAGCUUUACGGUUCGAUGGGUCUUCGGGCUCCUGCGUCGAAGGAGCCUCGGUGAACGUAAACCAGAGACGGGUAAAAUAUUUGUUUAGAUAAAAAAUUCGAAUAACGAAUAAAAGAUGAAUAACUUUUCAUCCUUUCGUUGUUGAAUAAUAUUUACAAUCCGAAUGAUAAAAUGAAGUUAUAUUUCACGUUGAACGAGUGAAAGUUUAAAAUCCGUACAAUCGUUCGAUGGAAUAAACGUGGUGAGUGAAUCGCUGUGUGUUCUUCUUAUUCGUCACCGUAUCGUUUAAACAAAAUUUUUCACCCACCUCUGGAACACAAACGCAGACUGAACUUAACUUUCAAUGGCGGAUACGGUUUCACGCAUUUGCGUUCAAUCAGCCGAUCAGCGUACUCGUUUAAUUCGCUCGCGAAACGAGCCUUUCCUCUCGAUCAUUUCUCUUUAGUCUUUUUCUAGCGCAAUUUUGUGUCUUGUUUAUGUAUCCUCGUUAGCGAUAUUAUAAUCGUCGUCGCUACCCUCGUUAGCAUUAUCGUUCUUAUUAUCGUUAUUUAUUUUAACUCUUAUCGUCUUAGGCUAAAGGACUCGCGAAGAUUCUCACAAGCUUUCGAUCCAUUGGACGUUAAAUUCACCUCCGAGGUUAACAAACGACGGCCAAUAAACGAUGUCGAUGCGAAAGGUUCAUGCGCUGGAUCGAUAUGAACGGAAAAGUGUAUUCUUUGAUCAAUCUCGAGAUGUCCUAUCGAAGAGAUCAGUUUCUGACCUAUCAUCACCAAGAGAGAGAGAGACUCUGAUUUUUAUCCUGGGCUGACAUUCGAAUUCUGUUCGUUAACUACGAGGAUUUAAUUAUAAACCAUUCAAUUAUAUACCGGAAUUUUCCUACACAACUGUAGUGGUGAUAGAUACAAAUACAAAUGCAGUGUCUUCUUUUGCUACGUACUUUUCUUCAACAGAAUACAUUUUCUUCGUCAGAUAGGAAGCUUUCUAGUUCCCUUAGAAACAAAGCAGUUAGCUGCUCCAGUAACCAAUUGUACAAGUACAGUUGAACCGCUGCAGCACGUUGUGUCGUUUUCAUAAUAAAUCUUUCUCGUCUUAAUACCUUCUUCAGUGUAUUGUUCAUAUGGUGGCCACAUGGAGUCAGGUCUGUAUUAUAAGGUGGUUAUUCGAGAAGUUUUCAGUGUAUUUUAGCGAAUUUAUCACGAGUUAAAGCUGCUACAUGCGUUGUCAUCUAGAAGAAGGACACCGCGAUUCAAUUAUCGGCGUCGUUUAUUGCGAUAAACAGUCUUCGCAUCAUCCACGAGCGGGAAGUAGCAGUCACUGUUCACUAUGUAAGUAGUCAAUCAACAAUACACCUUUUGAAUCUCAAAACACAGUUGUUAGAACUUUCCUGGUUGAUAGUCGAGUCUUGGCCUUGAUCAGUGCCCCCUCUGUAACUUUCCACCACACAAUACUCAUUUUAUUGUUUUCUGAGGCAUGCAGGGUGCCCAAAAAAUGUUGCAAUUCCUUGAAAGGAGAGGUCUGGGGGAUGAUUUGAAAUAACAUUUUCCUUAGCGAAACCCCCGAACCAAUCCUUUCAAGGAACUCCAACAUUUUUGGGACAACCUGUAGUGAUGGACCCAUAUUUUGUUACAAGUUACGAUAUGGUCCAAAAAAGCUUCCCUUUCUCCUUCAAAGCGAUUCACAAUUUUAACUGUACGUGCGCAAUUGAGGCAGUUAAAUUCUUCUUUCUAUGAUUGGAUCAGAAAGCUUUCUAUCUGAUGGAGAAAAUGUAUUUCUGUUGAAGGAACCUACGUAGAAAAAUAUGGCAAUCCAUUUGUAUUUUUAUCUAUCCUCAAUAAAGCUGUGUAAAAAAAAUCCGAUUUAUAUUCGAGUGAUCCUCGUACUUGGAUUAACGAAGGGUUCGGUAAUAAUCGAAUACAGAAAUAUUCGACGAGUAGACACAACCCUAUCUUUCGUUGGAUUUGUUCAAUUUGAAAAAGGGUAAUUUAAAUCGUGUGCUUUUGACGGAAGCGAUCGGAACUGUUUUGGAUGUAUUUCCGAGCGACUGGAGUUUUCAAAUUCAUUCUAAGAGACGUGUUCAUUCGAUCUGUAGUUAGUCGGAAAGCGCGGAGCCGUUUAAAAACGUUAAAAUCGGAAUUACACAACCCUAGGAGAAAUGCGUAGGUUAUUUUAUCAUAAGUGUGCGAGAUCUCGUUAUAUAAUCGCGGAAUUAAAAAGAAUUUCUUACCAAGGAACAUCGCUCAAAUGUAGUUCGCUGAUUUCGAUAAAGUUUUAAACUUCAAUAGAGCAAUGAAAUAUAGUAGUAAUCUCUUUAUUUCAUUAUCAUCUCGUUAUAAAAAGUGUUAGCGCCUUUUGUUCACGCGAUACACUCAAUUAUAUUAACUUUAUUCUAGUUGGAAAUGUGUAUCUUAAAUUCUCCUUGCUCAUUAAUUACUUAACAAUUGGUCUUCCUAUUCCUACUGCACAGUCUUUGUCAACAAAUCUUAAAUUUCUAAUUUGGGGGCAUAACUAAUUGUCUAAUUUGUUUUUUAUUUCCUUCCAACAUUCCAAGAGGGAAAAAACUCACCUUACAUUUGCAAAGGAAACACCUUCCAACUUACAUUUCUCGUAUACCGGUAAAGAUUGAAGAAAAUAUCGAAUAAGGGAAAAGUUUGGCUCUUAACGACCAAUACGGUUUAAAUAAAAACCUUACCAAGUUUUAAGUGACGUUAUUGUAGCCAGUCGAGGCAAUUUUUGUUUAGAAAUAUUUCUUAUAAAUCAUACAUACAAGAACAUAUACAUAUAAAUCACGUACACACAUUUUCUCAAUUUUCCUGUUUGUUUCGGUGUAAUAGGAAAUAUAUAAAUUUGUUUUAAGCGUCAGCCCGAAGGUUUCGCGUAAUUAUACGAUAGAGUUUUAUAAAUGAAUUUCCAGAAAUGUUAUAAUUUCCAUUGAAUUGGAAAUUUCCGUACCUAAUCGAUGCAAUUUUUCAGUUUUCUAUCUUUUUCCUAUAACCAUAAGUUCGAUCAAAAAUCCACUUAAACAGAUAUUUCACUUACAGUUUUGACGGCAGUUCUUUGCACUUUGAUCACGUUUAAUAAUUGUAAUAAUUUUCAAUGCUCUAUCCGUGUGGAAAAUUUCAUAAAAAUCGGCAUAUUACAAUUAGGCAAUGUUCUAUGCUAGUCACGUCGACGUUCUAUCGCAUUAAUCGUCAAUCGUUUCCACACCUUUCCCAAUCAUCGACUACAGUCAAGUACCUAUUUCUUUAGAAAUCAUAUUUGAACACGCGACAAGUUUCUGUUUCAUACCAGAGCCAUGGAAAAUUUCUAUCCAAAUGAAAACAUCGAGUAACGAAUAAAACGCAAACUGUUUACUCUUUACCUUAUUAAAUUAAUUUCGUAAUGCGAUGCAACGUUUUACGAAUAAUCGACUGGCAAAUAGUAUACGAGAAACUGAAUCCAGUGUCGCCGAUAGGACGGCAAGAAAAUUAUUUUCGUCUCUAAAAGUAUGGGGUACGAGUUGGUUGAAUCCGCACAUGUUUGUCGGUUAGAUAGGUGCACGAAAUAAUUCUAGAGCGAUAAAUAAAUGGAAAAGUAUCGUUCCUGUUAUACGAGAUGCGUUCAGCGUCAAUAUUGGAUCGAUCGAGAAAUUGUAGCGAGGAUAAGAGAUCGUCGCGAGUGGCUCUGGAUCGACGAUCGACUUCGAUCGUGAAUCACUCGUCGAUAGAAUCAAAGAAAGAGAAUCUUUUGACACUACGCUAGACCAUCGACGCGGAAAGGCGUUUGCAUCUUUUUUCGAAUAAUCGAAAUAAUUCAAUUUCUAGAUCGUCGAGACAACGGAUCGUUAUUUCGAUUGAUCGAUCUGCGAAUGUCUGGCCACGCGAGUCAUCAGGAUCUACUUACACCUUGUACAUAUGUAUGAUAUAUCGUUUUAACUUAUACACGACUAUUGUUACUUUUACAAUAAACCAUUGUAGAUAACAUUGACCAGUAAAUAAACGAGCGGUAAGUUAAUUAAGUUACAA